CUACGGAGGGUGCAAGCGUUAAUCGGAAUUACUGGGCGUAAAGCGUACGUAGGCGGUUAGUUAAGUUAGAUGUGAAAGCCCCGGGCUUAACCUGGGAACUGCAUUUAAAACUGGCUAACUAGAGUUAAGUAGAGGGGAGUGGAAUUUCAGGUGUAGCGGUGAAAUGCGUAGAGAUCUGAAGGAACACCAGUGGCGAAGGCGACUCCCUGGACUUGAACUGACGCUGAGGUACGAAAGCGUGGGUAGCAAACGGGAUUAGAAACCCUAGUAGUCC
rnacentral:rRNA from 1 species